GACGAACGCUGGCGGCGUGCUUAACACAUGCAAGUCGAACGGAAAGGCCCUGCCUUUGUGGGGUGCUCGAGUGGCGAACGGGUGAGUAACACGUGAGUAACCUGCCCUUGACUGUGGGAGAACUUCAGGAAACUGGGGCUAAUACCGGGUAGGAGCUCCUGCUGCAGGGUGGGGGUUGGAAAGGUUCGGCGGUUGGGGAUGGACUGGCGGCUUAUCAGCUUGUUGGUGGGGUAGUGCCUUACCAAGGCUUGGACGGGUAGCCGGCCUGAGAGGGUGACCGGCCCCAUUGGGCUGGGAAUCCGGCCCGGCCUCCUCCGGGAGGCAGCGGUGGGGAAUAUUCCACAAUGGGCGGAACCCUGAUGCAGCACCGCCGCGGCCGGGUUGACGGCCUUCGGGUUGUAACCCGCUUUCGCCUGUGACGAAGCGUGAGUGACGGUAAUGGGUGAAGAAGCACCGGCUAACUACGUG
rnacentral:rRNA from 1 species